ACACGCAUGACACACUGCAUAUCAAUAAGCGGAGGAAAAGAAACUAACAAGGAUUCCCUUAGUAACGGCGAGUGAAGCGGGAAGAGCUCAAAUUUGAAAUCUUCAAGGUUCUACCUUGACGAAUUGUAGUUUAUAGAAGUGUUUUCUGUUAGUGGAGUGGCAAAAGUUCUUUGGAAUAGGACAUCAUAGAGGGUGAGAAUCCCGUAUUUGGUCAUUCUUUCUAGCUUUGUGAUACACUUUCAACGAGUCGGAUUGUUUGGGAAUGCAGUCCAAAAUGGGUGUAAAUUUCAUCUAAAGCUAAAUAUUGGCGAGAGACCGAUAGCGAACAAGUACCGUGAGGGAAAGAUGAAAAGAACUUUGAAAAGAGAGUUAAACAGUACGUGAAAUUGUCAAAAGGGAAGCGUUUGACACCAGUGUUGUUUUUCCGAAAAUCAGUUAAGAAUGGCCUUAUUUUGAGAGUUUCAUGACCUUAAUAGCUUGUUCCUUAUUUUCAUGUAACUUUCUUAAUGCACUUUUCGGUUAACAAGUCAACAUCAAUUUCUUUUGUUGUAAAAGGGUAUAGAGGAAGGUGGCUUUACUUUCGGAGUAAAGUGUUUAUAGCCUUGUACCUCUGCAAUCGGAGAGAUUGAGGUCUGCAGCGUAGAUCCUUCGGGGUUAGAUACGUUUGUGCUAAGUUAUAGCUUUUCAUAGACAACUUGUUGACUAUGUUAAGUCUUGUAGCUUACUCGCUGACGCUAUUUUACCUACGCUUAGGAUGUUGACUGAUAUGUAGUCGUA
rnacentral:rRNA from 1 species